UACGGAGGGGGCUAGCGUUGUUCGGAAUUACUGGGCGUAAAGCGCGCGUAGGCGGUCCUGCAAGUCGGGGGUGAAAGCCCGAGGCUCAACCUCGGAACUGCCUUCGAUACUGCGGGUCUCGAGUCCGGGAGAGGAGAGUGGAAUUCCUAGUGUAGAGGUGAAAUUCGUAGAUAUUAGGAAGAACACCAGUGGCGAAGGCGGCUCACUGGCCCGAUACUGACGCUGAGGCACGAAAGCGUGGGGAGCAAACAGG
rnacentral:rRNA from 1 species